GGACGAAUCUUCCGCAAUGGGCGCAAGCCUGACGGAGCGACGCCGCGUGUGGGAUGAAGCGCCUUCGGCGUGUAAACCACUGUCAGGGAACAGAACCAAUGAUCGUUCCCAAAGGAAGAGACGGCUAACCCUGUGCCAGCAGCCGCGGUAAGACAGGGGUCUCGAGCGUUAAUCGGAAUUACUGGGCUUAAAGGGUGCGUAGGCCGGCCCGCAAGUGCUUUGUGAAAUCCCCCGGCUCAACCGGGGAACA
rnacentral:rRNA from 1 species